UGGGGAAUAUUGGGCAAUGGGCGCAAGCCUGACCCAGCAACGCCGCGUGAAGGAAGAAGGCUUUCGGGUUGUAAACUUCUUUUCUGGGGGACGAACAAAUGACGGUACCCCAGGAAUAAGCCACGGCUAACUACGUGCCAGCAGCCGCGGUAAUACGUAGGUGGCAAGCGUUAUCCGGAUUUAUUGGGUGUAAAGGGCGUGUAGGCGGGAAUGCAAGUCAGAUGUGAAAACUCAGGGCUCAACCCUGAGCCUGCAUUUGAAACUGUGUUUCUUGAGUGCUGGAGAGGCAAUCGGAAUUCCGUGUGUAGCGGUGAAAUGCGUAGAUAUACGGAGGAACACCAGUGGCGAAGGCGGAUUGCUGGACAGUAACUGACGCUGAGGCGCGAAAGCGUGGGGAGCAAACAGG
rnacentral:rRNA from 1 species